rnacentral:misc_RNA from 1 species
UGGCAUUGGCGGAUAUUCUGGUGAUGGACGUGGCAAAUAUAAUACUGGAUAUAACUCUCCACGUGAUAAAUAUAAGUCCCCUAGUGAAGAAUAUAAGUCUCCAGGUGACAAAUAUAGAUCCCCAUAUGACAAAUACAAACCUCCUAGUGAUGAGUACAAAUAUCCACGUGACAAGUAUAACUCUCCACAUGACAAAUAUAAGCCUCCUAGAUAUGAAUAUAAACAUGCAGGUG